rnacentral:lncRNA from 1 species
GGGGGACCUCGGAGGAGCCUUAAUCGCCAAGUGUAGAGUGUGGAUCCCGCUGCAUUUGGGGAGGGGAUGACUAAGUACUCUGGAGUGUGGAGUAGGCCUGGCGCCCAUCCUCCCUGUGGGCCACUCACUUACCCUUCAGAGUUCCCUGGAGGACCCUCCAUCUCUGGACGUCCCUUAGGUCUCCUCUUGGAGAAUUAUCAGGCCAUCUCUGUCGCUACUGUUGGCUGUUGAUGAUAUUCCAGAGUGAGUAGGGCAACGUCAUGAAUUAUUGCAUAACAUGACCCAGUCACUGUGAGGUUCACCUACCACCAUUAGGAGCAGCUGAAUUCAACGUUCAAGGAGUUGACCUAGAUAAUCUGCACAUCCUUGUUUGGACAGCUGUAAAAUUCACUGAGCAGAUGGCCUCCUGCCAAGGAGCAAGCUUAGAGCCUCAGAAUGAAUAAUCAUGAAGCUUGAUGCCCUUUCCAGACAAGAUCUGAGGCUAGUUAUCCUGCCCCGACAAUGACAACGACAAAAGGAAUCAGUGUUCUGCAGAUGAGGGAGGGAACUGAAAUCAGGGGCGGGGUGGGGGGGGGGAGUAAGAGGCUGCUUUGGCCUGAGUCAUGAAAGUGGAGGAGGGGGGCAGGAGGAGGAUUUCCACAUACAAAGAAAAGAAUAGAUGGGGCAAUCCUGAAAAGGUGGCUUAGAGUUGCUUGAAUUCAUUGCUGGGACCAGUCCUGGGAGGCUGCUCUGAGUUACUUUGGUGUUGGUUUUCUCUGGCCUUCCCUAAGUGUCUACAACCUCAACUGCCUUGCCAAAAUUCCAAGUGCAAACCUUGGGUCCUUGACACAGUGCCCAGCCCAGUACUAUCUGAUCCCAGAGUCAAACACGAUUCUCCUGCAUCUCUGCCCUGAUGUGUCUCCAGGAGCAAAUCUAAUAGCGAGGAACUCAUUUUCCUGUAGGGGCGAAAGGAGUAAACCUUGGAAGCUCCUGGAGGGGGCUGCAACUGGUCUAGGCCUGGGAAAACUGGAUGAGCAAGAUUUCCAGACUGAGAAGACAGGAAACAAAGGAAAAGACAGGUGCAAAGGCCUAAGAAGCAGAGCUGGGCACUGAGGGAUGGACACAGACAUAGAAGGAAAGAUUAAGAGCAAGGAUUUCAGUACUUGAGCUGGGGCUUGAGAAAUGGGCGGGUUCCAGUUGCCGGCCUGACGGGAGUGGAUAGUCUUCCCGUCCAUCACUGCAGACCCACCAAUGACGAUGUGCGGAGGCGGGGCCACAGAAAGGGCGGCUAAGAGGGCCCUGGCGCGUGACCAAACGCCUGUGGAUCUGGAUUGGACUGUGCGGGCAUCCGUGGGCUUCCGUGAACCGUUAACUUCGGCGAGCAGAGAACAUGGCGGCUCCCUUUCCCGAGAGCUCAAAACUGACCUGGGAUGGAAAAGGAUAGUACUGCUCAGCCUAUGGGCCUGUAAUGAGAAGAGAGUGGACCCAGAACCAACUUCUAGACCUGCCAAACAAGAUGAAGCAGGAUGGACUGGACGGGAUUGCGAAAAACAAACUCCAAGGAUCCAGAUUGUGGCAGUGCUGCUAUUUUUCAGAGCCAGCGCAUGUCCUUUGGGGAUUACCUGGCAGCUCUUUGGAAACCAGUCUCUUUAAUCCUGCUAUGAUGCCAAGAGGUAGCCCGGCAAUUCAGACCUUGCUUUGCUCGGAGCCGCUUUCUUUUCUGGCCAGCACUGAUGCCUUACAUCGAAGCUGAUGUGACUCAGCACCAAGUUUGGGCACCAAGACGGUGUUUGUUAACUGGCAGCGCCAAAGAAGUCUCCUUUCCUUCCUCUAUAUAAAGAGACUUUGUUUCUGCGCAGUGGUUACUUUGUUGAAAAUUAAGAGUUUUGACAGUUGGGGUGGGGGAAGAGAGUGCUAAAUGCAUGAACUUUACCAAGGUGUGUUUAAGAACACUUCGAACCUUUAGUUUCAUAAAUACCUCUGCUUCCUCUGUUGCUUUAUUAGCAUGGGUUUUAUCCAGAAGGUGGCAUCACAGAACCUAAAUUUCACUCACCAAAGGGUAAGAGAAAUUUACAUCUCUUUGUGAUUAGAAAUUAAGGAUGUAACCUUUAGAUAGCAUGUUGACAUUUCAGAGACUUUUUAUUCAUUCCUGUAAUUGGUUAAAUUACUUUAAAGCUGUGGAAGAUGAGGUCAUGAUGGUUUUCUACCCAGUGGAAACCCGAGGCCUGAGGUAUUUAGAAAAACCCAAACCCAUGUUCCUUCACCAAGUGAUGUGAGCAAGACUGGUUUAUUUACUAAUCAGAAACAGUUGUGAAACUGAACAGUUACUGUGAUGCCUUCUUCCCCUUCCACAUGCACUUGUGCCCACUGCCCAUCAAGGUACUCUUGGGUGCCUUCAUUGGAAGGAGGGAUCGGGAAGGCCUAAAUGGAUGGUUUAAUGGGUAAAUCUGCUGAGUAUUGGCACUUAAAAAUGAGUCGCAAGGUUGAGGACUCUCAAACGGUGAUCCUCUAAUGGGUGACCUUCUCACAAUCAGGACUCUCAGGAAAACAGAAGAUGAUCCUCCUCGGAAUCUGAGCUAGGAUCUGGUUUGCUGCUUCUUUCCCAGGCGUUCAGUGCUAGGCCAGGCAUGUCACUUAGCCUCAUGAGGCAUGUACUCAGUGAAUGUCUGCUCACUGGUAGGAAUAUGAAUGCUUUAUAAAUUCUUGGUUUAAAGUAUUCCUUUGGGUAUAUACCCCAGGCGAGAUUGCUAGAUCAGAUGGUAGGUCUAUUUUUAGUUUUGGGGAGGGACCUUCAUACUGUUUUUGACAGUGGCUGUACCAGUUUCCAUGGGAGAAUACAUCCUGAACUAAAUGAGUUUCAUGACUGCUUUUCCGGCCGCCUUUGAUUGUCUGUUCUUUUCAGGAGAAGAGCUAUAGAAAUUAGGGGCUGAGACCGGGAAGAGCUUCCCUGAUCAGGAAAGAUGCAACGACCGGGCCUUCCCUGGGCUGCCUAAAGCCCAAAGAUGGGGCUGGGGCUGGGGCUGGGGCUGGGGCUGGGAAGGGUAGCCCUCUGGAGCAAGGCUGUCAGAGCAGGGGGAGAAAGCAGACUGCUGGAGGGCCUGGGCCCUCCGUGUGAAAGGGGUCUUGGACUGUGUGACUGCAGGCCAGGCCCCUGCCCGCUUCCCAACCCCUAGUCCUGCCUGGGGUGGGCGGAGCACGGGGCCCAUCAUCGGGGGUGACCUGAGAAUCGGCCUUCUGGGAAAGGGGAGGCUGUUACCAUGGAGGCGUUUCCCCAUCUUCCAGGAGUCCCAGGCAUUUGGGGCUUUGCUGCUGGGGAAGGUCUUGGUGUUUCUGCCUCGUGCUGUGUGGUGCCUUGGCCUGUGACAAGUGGCUCAGGAAAGGGGGCUCUUCACCCACCGGUCUUGUGGCCUAGACCAGGACUCUGGGGCCGUCUCAUGGGAGGCCCAUGCUGACGUUGGUUCUUUCUUGUGAAUAGUCAGGCCUGGUUGCGUGGACGGCUCCACUCUGUGAGCCGAAUUGCACAGAGAGCCUGGCGAAGGUGCGUCGCUGUGCGGGGGUGCUCUUCUGGGUCCCUGUCCAGACGCCCCUUUCCACUCCGUGGCUCAGAUACCCUGCCAGGGGCCUGCAGGAGGCACAUAGGGGCGAUGGAGCAUCUGGGCUGUGGGAGAUGUUGGGUCUAGGGCAGAAGCAGAGCGUGGCCUGUGGUCAGGACUCCUUGGUGACAGGAAGGAGCUGAGCAGAAGAGUGUCCACUGUGCAUAGCAGUGGCUGGUGGGGAUCCUGAGGAACCACACCUGCGCGUGUGGGGAUGUGGCUGGAGCUUCAUCAGAGCAUUUCCAUGUCGCGCUCCGCCCUCUCCUGCUGACUCCUCUGCAUGUUAGUUGGAAGCAAGAGGUCACAUGGGUGCUGUCCGUGUGCAGGAGCUGAAGUGGGGACGUGUGGGAAGCCCCCCUGUUCUGCUUGCCGAAGAGGGCCUAUGCCCCCCGGCUGUCGCUGUUCCUUCUGUGUGUAUCUGCUGGGAGGCCUUGAUGCCUGCUGGUCUAGCCCCUGGGCCGUUUUGGUCUUGCUGUCGGGGGAGAUGAGGUUGCAUCAAGGGGCCUUUGUCUGCCCUCCCAAGACAGUGGGGGGUUUGUGUGGCAUGUGUGGGACUGUGUGUGGUCCUGCGCCCUUGGGGGUGGCGGGAGGAUCCAGGAGAUGAGUCUGGGGCAGGGAGGCUGCUCUGGUUUUCUUAUCUCAAGCUUCUGAUUAGCUUCGAUUCCUGAAACACGGAGCCACAGCCUAGGGAGAAAUAAAGUGGUAAUGAGAAUAUAAGGGGGGGCUGCCGGUGGGCAGGACCCAAGGCUUUGGGUGUGCAAGGUGAGGGGGCAUUGUGGCUUCAGGGCUGUUUCUCCUGUCCCCUUUCUUUCUUUCUUUUUUUUUUUUUGUCUUUUGUCUUUUUGUUGUUGUUGUUGUUUUUGCUAUUUCUUGGGCCGCUCCCGCGGCAUAUGGAGGUUCCCAGGCUAGGGGUUGAAUUGGAGCUGUAGCCACCGGCCUACGCCAGAGCCACAGCAACGCGUGAUCCCAGCCGCGUCUGCAACCUACACCACAGCUCACGGCAACGCCGGAUCGUCAACCCACUGAGCAAGGGCAGGGACCGAACCCGCACCCUCAUGGUUCCUAGUCAGAUUCGUUAACCACUGUGCCACGACGGGAACUCCUCCUGUCCCCUUUCUUCAUUCUCCCACACACCUUUGGGUCAGUAUAUUUGGGGGACAGAAGAUAACCAUGGGCACUGAUGAAUAUGCUAUGAAAAAAUGUGGCUCUCUUGUAAAUUUGAGACAUUUCUUACGGAACAGGGUUAUUCUCCAUUUUCCAAGUGAAUCGUGCUCUGUCUGCAGAGGAUGACUUUGCUGUCUCAUCCUUAUUCUGUAUUGCCGCAGGCCUGUGAAGGAUGGCCACUGUGACAGGGGAGCCCUUCAUCCUGCUAGACUUUUGCACAGUCUAUAAUCUGAGGGAGUUCUGAGAAGGAACUGCUGUUGCUUAUGCUGUUUUUCUCCGGACAUAUUUCCCUCCCUUUUCCUGUAGCUUUAUGGACUCUUAGGCGCUGCUUUAUGGUGUCCAUUUCCUCCUGUUCUUUGCGAGGGUCUAGGUGAGUUUCUGAUUUCAGCUCCUCAAGUUGUUCCCCCUUUACCUAGUUCUCACUUAUUGCCAGGAGUUUGGGUGCCUGGUCCUUAAAGGGACAUUCUGGGUUGUCACAUUACCAAAAAGCUUACUUAGCUUCAAGAAAAAGAUUUGCAUACAUUGCAAAGAGGCAGAGAAAGAGCUGAUAAGUUUUCCAAGGUGAAUGUUUUAAGGGAAGAGAGAGGCCGUUUCCCUUUUUUCAACAGGGAUUCUUUAACUUUUCUUAUUUUUUUGCCCUUACAACAUGCUCCCAUGAGACACCUGGUCUCCUGGGUAUUGGCACCCUGCUCCCAGUUGCUGAUUCCGGAGCUCUGCCAAAGUCAGGCCUGUGCAGAGGCUUUCCUCAGGAGGAGCUCGUGCCAAAAGCACCUGAAGGACAAGUGAUCAGUAUGCGUGACUGCUCAUCCUCUGGGCUGCUUUUACCCGUGCCUCUGUCCUCAGGGGGAGUUCUCUGGGAUCUCUAGGAUCAAUUGGAAUGAGGAUUAAAACUACAGACCUUGUUUUGAGAGGGUGUAAACUGAUACCCUGAUGUCACUGGUGUGUUGGCAGGUGGAGCUGGGCUUUCCCUCUCCUAUCCUCCCUUUCUUGAGUCUCCAGAGGAGCACCUGGCAGAGAUGUCAUCUCUGUGUCUUGGGAUACAUGGGACCUGAUAGAAUAUGUGGUAGGAGGCGAGGACUCAGAUCCCACGUUGUGAAUGUUUAGUGUGCAGCCCUGUCAAACAGGGUGGAAAGAGUGUGCAAAAUGUGUGCCCUCCUAUGUAGCUUGAAUGAUCUCUGAUCCCUCUGGAUUUGAAUUUGCCCUCGCAGCCCUUCAGCUGACACAAUAAAGGGAUUACUGAGUGUCGCCAGUCAGGCCCCUUCACAGUCUAGAUUUGGGUUGGCCUUCUCAGCUUCCCUUCCCGCUUCUUACUCAUGUGCAGGCCUACUGUACUGCUUCAUAUCAAGUUUGGAUAAGAACAGCAGUGGGCUCUGUUGAAUGAAUCCUAAGGAGAUGCUCUGAUUUGCUCAGUCUGCCCCAGCAGUCAGACAUAGCAGCCUUCCUGAAUGCUGAAAGGCCUGUCGCAGACUCGACUCUAGUGAUUAUAGGUUGUACAGUCAGGGUACUGAGCUACGGGAUGUAGGAUGUAGUUAAAGCUGGGAACCAAGACGUGCGCGUCUCCUCCUGAGCCCAGAGUUUGAAGUAUUGUGUAUAGAAAAAUGUGCUGAGAGUAAAUCUUAUUCUACCUUCUGUCAAAAAAUAAUAAUAUGAAUUAGCGAGGGUGGAAUGAAACUUAACAGGGGUUGGAUAUGUUUAAGGCAUAGAUUAUGAUGAUGGUUCGUGGAGGUAUACUUAUCUCCAGACUCAUUAAGUUGUAUGUAUUAAGUAUGUGCAGCUUUCUGUAUGUCAGUCAUACCUUCAUAACCUCAAUAAAGUGGUUUAAAAAUAAUAACAAAAAAGACCCUCUCGUGGUUACAGAUGUAUACUCCCCCUCAAGUGUCUUGAGGUUUUAGAACUGAAAGGGAAGAAUGCUUCUACACUGGGAAAUGGGUAAUGCUAUUUACUACUCUGUAUUAUUGUUUUGCCUUGGUUUUUCUAUGUAUGCAUAGCAUUUGCAUUGGCACAUAUAAGGUUAACCUUUAGUCCAUAGGAUUUUCAAUUUUGUAGAAUCACAGCACUUCUGCGAAAGCUGUGAACUUCACCUGGAGGACUUCAGCUCAAGGAGUGGCCUGUGACAUCAGCUAUUUGUCAUUUGACCAGAAAUUGACUUUGGGUCCUGUGCCUUUGGGAAUGGCUUGGACUUUGGGUUGGUUUUGUUUCUUAUAAUAUGUGCUUUUGUGCUUACCUGAGAAAUCUUUUAAAAUAUUUUACACAUGGGGACAUGUCCAGGUGUAAAAUAUUUUACAUAUGGGGACACGUCAAGGUGUAUAUGUACUGUAUCUGUAUCCUAUAGGGUGGAAGGUAGUGUCUCAGGCUGGUUGGUCUCUGCAGCAGGCCUCUUUUCUCUGAGGUCUUCCCACCACCUUCUGUUUUCUGUGUGACUGAGUUCCUUGGCCUUAGCUACUCAGUUUGAUACUUUUCAUCUUGUCCUAGUUGAGCAAACCAUGCUUCUGUUAUAUUUAGAGUUUGGGACUAGAUGCCAAGAAUGGGUGCUAGGCUAGCCUGCAAAGGCUCAUUAAUAACCUUUCACUGCAGAAAAUAUCAUGUAAAAGACAUAUUGUGGGGUUUCCCUGGGUUAUCCUCAUUUCUGUGUCUUUAGAAUGUAUUUGCUGCUUAAGCUUCUUGUAUUUUGUAAAAUACUUGUGUUCUUCCAAUAAAAUUUGAUUCAG